rnacentral:rRNA from 1 species
UACGGGGGGAGCAAGCGUUGUUCGGAUUUACUGGGCGUAAAGGGCGCGUAGGCGGUCAGCACAAGUCAGUUGUGAAAUCUCCGGGCUUAACUCGGAAAGGUCAACUGAUACUGUGCGACUAGAGUGCAGAAGGGGCAACUGGAAUUCUCGGUGUAGCGGUGAAAUGCGUAGAUAUCAGGAGGAACACCGGUGGCGAAGGCGGAUCUCUGGGCCUUACCUGACGCUGAGGAGCGAAAGCAUGGGGAGCAAACAGG